rnacentral:lncRNA from 1 species
AAAGUCUUCACUCCAUCAUUUAGAAUUAUAAUUAAAUCAUAUACAGAUAUGAGGGUUUUUACCUUUAUAAUUUCUUCUCUCUUAUUUACUUUCCUUUUGCUCCCUACUUCAACUGAACAAACGCAACUUUUUGACUAUGGGCGCAGAGCCGGCAUUCCUCGAGGAGGUGGUGGUGAAGAUCUGGGCGAGAUAUCUUCAGAAAAAGCAUUAGAUAAAAUGCUUAGUCAAUUACCAUUUGAAUAUGGGCACAUAGCCGGCAUUCGUCAGGGAGGUGGCGAUGGAGAUCCGAGCGAGAUACCUUCAGAAAAAGCAUUAGAUAAAAUGCUAAGUCAAUUGCCAUUUGAAUAUGGGCGCAUAGCUGGCAUUCUUCGAGGAGGUGGCGGUGGAGAUCUAGGCGAGAUAUCUUCAGAAAAAGCAUUAAAUAAAAUGCUAAGUCAAUCUCCAUUUGAUUAUGGGCGCAAAGCCGACAUUCGUAAGGGAGGUGGUGGUGGAGAUCUGGGCGAGAUAUCUUCAGAAAAAGCAUUAGAUAAAAUGCUUAGUCAAUUGCCAUUUGAAUAUGGGCGUUACACUUAGUAGAUACUACAUCAUCAGUUUCCAUCUCAUAUGGAAAAAAAUAAAAUAAAUAAAAAUAUGUGUCUUGUAUUUCUGUAAUCCUAUUUCCUUGCACAACGGAUUAUAGAAAUUAUUAUGUGUACUUCAAAUACAUGCAUAUGGACUUUCUCUACUGAUAAUAUGAAUAAUGUAUUUUAUAAUUUAAUAUGGGUAAUUUUCACUCAUAGUCACCUGCCUUUGAAC